GGGUUGUGAGGUUAAGCGACUAAGCGUACACGGUGGAUGCCCUGGCAGUCAGAGGCGAUGAAGGGCGUGCUAAUCUGCGAUAAGCGCCGGUAAGGUGAUAUGAACCGUUAUAACCGGCGAUACCCGAAUGGGGAAACCCAGUGUGAUUCGUCACACUAUCAUUAACUGAAUCCAUAGGUUAAUGAGGCGAACCGGGGGAACUGAAACAUCUAAGUACCCCGAGGAAAAGAAAUCAACCGAGAUUCCCCCAGUAGCGGCGAGCGAACGGGGAGGAGCCCAGAGCCUGAAUCAGCAUGUGUGUUAGUGGAAGCGUCUGGAAAGGCGCGCGAUACAGGGUGACAGCCCCGUACACAAAAGCGCAUGUGCUGUGAGCUCGAUGAGUAGGGCGGGACACGUGGUAUCCUGUCUGAAUAUGGGGGGACCAUCCUCCAAGGCUAAAUACUCCUGACUGACCGAUAGUGAACCAGUACCGUGAGGGAAAGGCGAAAAGAACCCCGGCGAGGGGAGUGAAAAAGAACCUGAAACCGUGUACGUACAAGCAGUGGGAGCCCCACCACUAAGCCAGUGGUGAACUCCACAUACGCAUCCUUUGCUGAGGAUACGGUUAACGGAGCGAAAGCGACGUUCAACCGCAAAAGAAGCAGAGGGGGCUUAGUGGUGGGGUGACUGCGUACCUUUUGUAUAAUGGGUCAGCGACUUAUAUUCUGUAGCAAGGUUAACCGAAUAGGGGAGCCGGAGGGAAACCGAGUCUUAAUUGGGCGUUAAGUUGCAGGGUAUAGACCCGAAACCCGGUGAUCUAGCCAUGGGCAGGUUGAAGGUUGGGUAACACUAACUGGAGGACCGAACCGACUAAUGUUGAAAAAUUAGCGGAUGACCUGUGGCUGGGGGUGAAAGGCCAAUCAAACCGGGAGAUAGCUGGUUCUCCCCGAAAGCUAUUUAGGUAGCGCCUCGUGAACUCAUCUCCGGGGGUAGAGCACUGUUUCGGCUAGGGGGCCAUCCCGGCUUACCAACCCGAUGCAAACUGCGAAUACCGGAGAAUGUUAUCACGGGAGACACACGGCGGGUGCUAACGUCCGUCGUGAAGAGGGAAACAACCCAGACCGCCAGCUAAGGUCCCAAAGUCAUGGUUAAUGGGAAACGAUGUGGGAAGGCCCAGACAGCCAGGAUGUUGGCUUAGAAGCAGCCAUCAUUUAAAGAAAGCGUAAUAGCUCACUGGUCGAGUCGGCCUGCGCGGAAGAUGUAACGGGGCUAAACCAUGCACCGAAGCUGCGGCAGCGAACGUAUCACUUAAAGCGAUUCAGCGGGUUACGAUUGACGGAGCGAAGCGACGUCAAAGCGUAUACAAAGUCGAGUCGGUUUAAGGAUACGUUCGUUGGGUAGGGAGCGUUCUGUAAGCCUGCGAAGGUGGCCUGUGAGGGUUGCUGGAGGUAUCAGAAGUGCGAAUGCUGACAUAAGUAACGAUAAAGCGGGUGAAAAGCCCGCUCGCCGGAAGACCAAGGGUUCCUGUCCAACGUUAAUCGGGGCAGGGUGAGUCGACCCCUAAGGCGAGGCCGAAAGGCGUAGUCGAUGGGAAACGGGUUAAUAUUCCCGUACUUGGUGUUACUGCGAAGGGGGGACGGAGAAGGCUAUGUUGGCCGGGCGACGGUUGUCCCGGUUUAAGCGUGUAGGUGUGUGUUCCAGGUAAAUCCGGUUCACUUUAACACUGAGGCGUGACGACGAGGCACUACGGUGCUGAAGCAACAAAUGCCCUGCUUCCGGAAAGCCUCUAAGCAUCAGGUAACAUCAAAUCGUACCCCAAACCGACACAGGUGGUCAGGUAGAGAAUACCAAGGCGCUUGAGAGAACUCGGGUGAAGGAACUAGGCAAAAUGGUGCCGUAACUUCGGGAGAAGGCACGCUGACACGUAGGUGAAGUGAUUUACUCAUGGAGCUGAAGUCAGUCGAAGAUACCAGCUGGCUGCAACUGUUUAUUAAAAACACAGCACUGUGCAAACACGAAAGUGGACGUAUACGGUGUGACGCCUGCCCGGUGCCGGAAGGUUAAUUGAUGGGGUCAGCGCAAGCGAAGCUCCUGAUCGAAGCCCCGGUAAACGGCGGCCGUAACUAUAACGGUCCUAAGGUAGCGAAAUUCCUUGUCGGGUAAGUUCCGACCUGCACGAAUGGCGUAAUGAUGGCCAGGCUGUCUCCACCCGAGACUCAGUGAAAUUGAACUCGCUGUGAAGAUGCAGUGUACCCGCGGCAAGACGGAAAGACCCCGUGAACCUUUACUAUAGCUUGACACUGAACAUUGAGCCUUGAUGUGUAGGAUAGGUGGGAGGCUUUGAAGUGUGGACGCCAGUCUGCAUGGAGCCGACCUUGAAAUACCACCCUUUAAUGUUUGAUGUUCUAACGUGGACCCGUAAUCCGGGUUGCGGACAGUGUCUGGUGGGUAGUUUGACUGGGGCGGUCUCCUCCUAAAGAGUAACGGAGGAGCACGAAGGUUGGCUAAUCCUGGUCGGACAUCAGGAGGUUAGUGCAAUGGCAUAAGCCAGCUUGACUGCGAGCGUGACGGCGCGAGCAGGUGCGAAAGCAGGUCAUAGUGAUCCGGUGGUUCUGAAUGGAAGGGCCAUCGCUCAACGGAUAAAAGGUACUCCGGGGAUAACAGGCUGAUACCGCCCAAGAGUUCAUAUCGACGGCGGUGUUUGGCACCUCGAUGUCGGCUCAUCACAUCCUGGGGCUGAAGUAGGUCCCAAGGGUAUGGCUGUUCGCCAUUUAAAGUGGUACGCGAGCUGGGUUUAGAACGUCGUGAGACAGUUCGGUCCCUAUCUGCCGUGGGCGCUGGAGAACUGAGGGGGGGCUGCUCCUAGUACGAGAGGACCGGAGUGGACGCAUCACUGGUGUUCGGGUUGUCAUGCCAAUGGCACUGCCCGGUAGCUAAAUGCGGAAGAGAUAAGUGCUGAAAGCAUCUAAGCACGAAACUUGCCCCGAGAUGAGUUCUCCCUGAGACUUUAGGUCUCCUGAAGGAACGUUGAAGACGACGACGUUGAUAGGCCGGGUGUGUAAGCGCAGCGAUGCGUUGAGCUAACCGGUACUAAUGAACCGUGAGGCUUAACCUUACAACGCCGAAG
rnacentral:rRNA from 1 species